GGGGAUGUAGCUCAGUGGUAGAGCACUUGCCUGACAUGCAUGAGGCCCUUGGUUCACCCCCAGCACCAUCA
rfam:Ictidomys tridecemlineatus contig018711, whole genome shotgun sequence.